CUCCGUGCCAGCAGCCGCGGUAAUACGGAGGUCGCAAGCGUUACUCGGAAUCACUGGGCGUAAAGCGCAUGUAGNCGGACUUACAAGUCAGGUGUGAAAGCCAAUGGCUCAACCAUAGAACUGCACUUGAAACUGUAAGUCUAGAGUUCGGGAGAGGCAGAUGGAAUUUCCGGUGUAGGGGUAAAAUCCGUAGAGAUCGGAAGGAAUACCUAUUGCGAAGGCGAUCUGCUGGAACGCAACUGACGCUCAGAUGCGAAAGCGUGGGUAGCAAACAGGAUUAGAUACCCUGGUAGUCCACGCCCUAAACGAUGGAUGCUAGUUGUUGGGGAGCCAGUCUCUUCAGUAAUGCAGCUAACGCAUUAAGCAUCCCGCCUGGGGAGUACGGUCGCAAGAUUAAAACUCAAAGGAAUAGACGGGGACCCGCACAAGCGGUGGAGCAUGUGGUUUAAUUCGAAGAUACGCGAAGAACCUUACCUGGGCUUGACAUCCUAAGAACUUUGUAGAGAUACAUUGGUGCUAGCUUGCUAGAACUUAGUGACAGGUGCUGCACGGCUGUCGUCAGCUCGUGUCGUGAGAUGUUGGGUUAAGUCCCGCAACGAGCGCAACCCCCGUCCUUAGUUGCUAACGGUUCGGCCGAGAACUCUAAGGAGACUGCCUUCGUAAGGAGGAGGAAGGUGGGGACGACGUCAAGUCAUCAUGGCCCUUAUGCCCAGGGCAACACACGUGCUACGAUGGGGUGUACAGAGAGAAGCAAUACUGCGAAGUGGAGCAAAUCUCUAAAGCAUCUCUUAGUUCGGAUUGCUCUCUGCAACUCGAGAGCAUGAAGCCGGAAUCGCUAGUAAUCGUGAAUCAGCUAUGUCACGGUGAAUACGUUCCCGNGGUCUUGUACUCACCGCCCGUCACACCAUGGGAGUUGCAUUCACCCGAAGCCGGAAUGCUAAAUUGGCU
rnacentral:rRNA from 1 species